GAGCAAGAGAGACAGAGAUCUGAUUUUGCAGAGCAAAAGUAUCACUGCAAAGUUGGGAAAUUCCAUUUGCUGUUAGCUGAAGGCUCUCUCUCAUUAUAAAGGAAUAAUUUUUCUGGGCACUGCGGCUCAAAUGCUUGAACUCCUUCCCUUGCAAGGUUGUGUGCUUUCUGAUCACAAAGGGAUGACGCUCCUAAGCACAGGGACCUCUGGCUACAUCAGAAGGAAGCACAGCAACAGCAUUUCCCAGAAGGGCAUGGACAAAAUGAUUGAACUGCAGAGCAGUAAAACACCACUACUGAAGAAACAGCAAGCAGAGCUUGAGGUGUCCAUGUCAAAGGUUUCCUCAGAGGACUCUGGUGAACCCAGCUCUUCCAGGACACCCGUAAUGUAAGAGAAGAAAACUUCAUCCAUCCCACUGGAGAAAGAGAACACCACACAACGUACCUGAAAAAAAAUGUGAGCUUUCUUCCAUCCUUCUCAGACCUUAAAAAAACCAAUGGUAAGAUUCUGAAUUUCAGUGAUGGCAAGAAUACUGUCCUAUGCGCAUGGGUUUUUUUCCAAAUUGGAAGCUGCAUCUGCAAGUGCUGGCAAUGACCAAGCCCCCUAAACUUACUCUUGAACAAGUCCAAGAAAAGUAACCUUCCUUUCACAGAAAUAAGAGAUGGAAGAUCAACAUAUAGCAAUAAAAAUGUU